rnacentral:rRNA from 2 species
UGGGGAAUAUUGGGCAAUGGGCGAAAGCCUGACCCAGCAACGCCGCGUGAGGGAAGAAGGUUUUCGGAUUGUAAACCUCUGUCCUCAGGGAAGAAGGAAGUGACGGUACCUGAGGAGGAAGCCCCGGCUAACUACGUGCCAGCAGCCGCGGUAAUACGUAGGGGGCAAGCGUUGUCCGGAAUGACUGGGCGUAAAGGGCGUGUAGGCGGCUUUUUAAGUCUGGAGUGAAAGUCCUGCUUUUAAGGUGGGAAUUGCUUUGGAAACUGGAGAGCUUGAGUGCGGAAGAGGUAAGUGGAAUUCCCAGUGUAGCGGUGAAAUGCGUAGAGAUUGGGAGGAACACCAGUGGCGAAGGCGACUUACUGGGCCGUAACUGACGCUGAGGCGCGAAAGCGUGGGGAGCGAACAGG